rnacentral:misc_RNA from 1 species
UUUUCUUGUUCCGAAGAUGUCCUUGGGAAAUAAAGAGGUAACAGUACCUCAUAAAUUCCGAGAUCACAGGACUCUAAUGCGAAAACUAUACAGGUGAUUGUGUCGCUGUACUGUUCCAGAAAUCUUCUUACCGUCCCUAUUGAAUACAAAUAAUUUAUUUUAGUUUAUAAGCAAAGUUGUUACUCACAAACAGAAUUUUUACUAAUUUUCUUUUCAAUUCAGGCUCGAUAUGUUACUUACUGAGUGCAAUGUGGGCGCCUGCGUCAGGUGGGUAAUUUCGUCUAACGGAAUUAAUAACAGAGGCUGGCAGGGAAAUGGGCUUGUCGAAUGGUGCGAGGUCUCUCCUGGUAAAUUGGAGUAAUCGGUGAAUCUGUGCUGAAUGGGAUAGUCUGACCAUCUUUUCAGCGUCCCCAGCUCCACCACUUCCGGAGCCACACCCAAUGGUUCCAUCAGCCUCAUUCAGCUGGAAAAAGAAACAAGCCAAAUAUUAAAACCAGAAAAAAAUCGGACUGGUAGAUCGGACUGCAAGAGUAUGCUGAGAUUCCGUUUCUGAAGACGCUGCACAAGCUGAACGUAGGUUUUUAAUUGACUCGCAAAACGGGAUUUUGCGGACGAACUGCAGUGCUGUACGUACGUACCCUUUAGGAAUGCAGUAUAACCGGUAGAGCUAUUAUUAUCCGUAUAUAAAUACCCGCGUAAGAAUCUAUAAAAGGGCUCUUCAAU